rnacentral:lncRNA from 1 species
GGCAGAGUGCUCAUAAAACUUUCAGGCUGCGGCUGCCACAGAAGUUUACGAGCAUUUCCAGCAGAGGAGCGUCGCCGGUCCAGGCCUCAGCUCCAAAAGUAAGCAAGAAGAAACGACGGCAGUAAAACGAGUUCAAGUUUAUGGCUGGGCGUCGGGCAGUCAGAGCACUGGAGGCCUACAAGCGGCUGCGAAUUUUGCUCCUGGCUCCCCAGAGUCGUCAAACGUCAAUUAUCGAGGCAGCCAAAAAACUAGCUGCAAGUGGGCUGUGGCUGUGGCUGUGGCAGUGGCCGUGCACCCCAAUUCGUCACGGAAGAACUAAUUAAAUUUACGUUAGUCAUGGAAAUUUAUUUUGCAACUACUUUUAGUUUGCAGCAGGCGAGUGAAAAAAGGAGAGCAGUUGGAGCAGACUAGAAUUUGGCGUUGUUUUUUGUGCUUUUUAUUUGAAUUUGUGUUCUCCUUUUUUUAUGUUAUUUGUAGGAGAAUGCUUUGUAACAUGAGUUUAGAAUAGAUAUAUAAAAGUAUCUUUGUUGAUGUUUGCCCGUAGCUUAGCUUGCUGUUUGCUUGGCAGAGCACAGCUGCAAUGUGCCAUGGAACACCCAAGAGGCCCAGCAGCCAAGCAGUUCUUAUCUCAUCUCUGAAGACCAUUCUUCGAGGCAAAACAACGACAGAAGAACUUUAGUCUAACGUUCGCUAAAGCAAGACCCAAAAAUGUGCAAUUUGUGCCAUCAAAAAUAAUAAAAUAAAUGAAAAUAAAAAGGUGC